CGCUGCAGCCUUAUUGGUUCCCCUACGCAAUCCAGUAGGAAAAAUAGUAUCGUGUGCCGUUGGCUUUAGAAUGUAUUCUUAAUUCGCAACAACUUUAGUGAUGGAACUUUCCACAAGCGCGAUGUCCGCCGCGCAGUGCGUUUCGGUACGUGUAACGCCUGUUUCAUCACGUUUCGGGUGUUGCUUGUAACUGCUGUGUAUUCUGACUCAAAUAUGGUAAUGGAUGAGGAAGUGGUUGAGUGGUUGGAAAAAGAAGACUUAAGGACAUAUUUAUGAAAAAUAACGAAGGCAAGCAUCAACUAAUAAUUAAAGAAGUAGCUACAGCCAUAACUUGUCGAAAACAAUCUAUUUAGCUAUGCUGUAUUUAUCUGUACUGUAAUAAACAGUAAAUGUUUUGUGGGACUGUUUUUGUUAUGAUUAAUGAUCGCAAAUAUUAGAUAACAUUUUAUAGGAAAAUGUAUCAUUUAGCGUAUAUUCUUAUAUAUUAAGAAUAUCCGAUAAGAAUAUUCUGUUUAGAAGAUUUCUCUCUUAAAUUAAGACAAGUCUUUUAGCGCUUAUUUUAGAGUAAAAGAUUAUAAAAGUAAGUGAAAUAUUCUUAAGAUGAGAAUAUAAUUUUAUCGGUGCUCCUUUAUUUAAUUUUUAACAAACUUUACGUAUUUCCUUUGAGAAAUGGAUACUAAAAUACUUCGGUUCGUUAAAAUGGGCCUCUUUAUUUUAAUAUUUGCUAAAGAAACCCGGCAAAUAAUUAAUAAUAGAACGGUAUUCCAGGAUGGAGUUAUAUAUAUGUAUGCGUAUGUGACAUAUUAAAUUAUUUUUUCAAUUAUAUGUAUAACGCUUUAGCACACGUGCAUUAUUGCGCACUAACACUUUUUUUCUGUAAUAAUUCUUUUACGAAUCAUACACAAAGAAAAAAGUGUUUCAAUUAUGUUGAUGUCGACUAUAGUUACGACAACGAGUGUAUGAUCGAUUACCAUAUGAGUGUUGCACACUUCUUUCUAGAGCUAAGUUAACGUUAUUGUUCCCACGCAAACGCGUGGCGUGGCAUUAAGAAACGAAGUAGGUACAAUUUCGAGCUGCGUAUCCAAGAGACUUGACUUGCUCAAAACCGGAUGGGUGAUUUUAAUCGCCCGUGGUUGACCGACCAACAACUCCGGAAGAACGCGAGAAGCAUUAUCGCGUGCGCUGGUAUGUUAUUUGAAAAAAUACAGUUAUAAGAGAAUAAAAUUUCUAGAAACCUUACCCUUUUUUCCUAUAAUUUCUUUCUCUUCUGAAAAAGUGCACUGUACCUAGAAUGACCUUCUAUAGACCAUUCUCUUAAGCACCGGUUAAAGUUAAGUGGAUUUUAACUAGUUUCGUAACAGAAAAUAUGUGGAUGCGUGUUCUUAAGUAUGCCAAUAUUGCUAGGCAAGUUGGGAAGCAUUGUUCUGAAAAUUUAUUUUGCCAGAAUUAAGUAUCACUUAAUAUAUAAUUGAAAAACAUAACGUUCAUGUAUGUCCUAACCUAAAGUAUAAUGUCGUGAAUGUAAAAUAUGAAAUUAAUAUAAUAAUUAUGAGUUUAAUUGUAGACAAAUUAUAAAAAUGUGAUAUUAAAUAUAUUUAUAUCGCAUAAAACAAUAUUUCCGUACGCUUAUAAUAACCUAUAGAUUAAUCUGAUUAAGAUGUAUUAUUUUUCUAAAUCUUAUAAAAUUAUAAAUAUAAAUAUUAGGAGAGAGUUCCUAGGGAAGGUAAAAUCGCCUCGACAUCAUUCGUCAACAUGAGCUGCAACAAAUGUGGCAAUAGUUUCUUGCGGCCUUAGAACUGUGUUAUGGCUGUGAAACGCAUUCCCGCCUCGUCAUCGUCACACACUGGUUGCUCAUGCUGGUUGCGUAAUUGUUCGCAAUAAUGUUAGCAAGGCCAACCAAUACACGAACACACUCCAGAGUAGCAAUGUCAGCGGAGAUAAACGAUUAAAUGAUACACGCACGAAACGUCAAUCUACGACGAUAUCCAGGGUCGCUGGGAAAUCAAAUAAUGUAUAGCACUCUUUUUAGAUAUUGUCGGGCACAAUAAUGUAUAUACCGUUUCAUCGGCCCUGAGGA